rnacentral:tRNA from 1 species
CGGUGCCGUGGGACGCGGUGGCGCCCGGCCGGUAAGCCCGGCCGCUGGGCCCGGCUCAGUGCGCGAGUGGUUCGUAGCUGUUGCCUUCGG